rnacentral:rRNA from 1 species
UACGAAGGGGGCUAGCGUUGCUCGGAAUCACUGGGCGCAAAGCGCACGUAGGCGGAUUGUUAAGUCAGGGGUGAAAUCCUGGAGCUCAACUCCAGAACUGCCUUUGAUACUGGCGAUCUUGAGUUCGGGAGAGGUGAGUGGAACUGCGAGUGUAGAGGUGAAAUUCGUAGAUAUUCGCAAGAACACCAGUGGCGAAGGCGGCUCACUGGCCCGAUACUGACGCUGAGGUGCGAAAGCGUGGGGAGCAAACAGGGAU